AGAACGAACGCUGGCGGCAUGCCUAACACAUGCAAGUCGAACGAGACCUUCGGGUCUAGUGGCGCACGGGUGCGUAACGCGUGGGAAUCUGCCCUUGGGUUCGGGAUAACAGUUGGAAACGACUGCUAAUACCGGAUGAUGACUUCGGUCCAAAGAUUUAUUGCCCAGGGAUGAGCCCGCGUAGGAUUAGCUAGUUGGUGAGGUAAAGGCUCACCAAGGCGACGAUCCUUAGCUGGUCUGAGAGGAUGAUCAGCCACACCUGGGACUGAGACACGGCCCAG
rnacentral:rRNA from 1 species